GUCGAGGGGCAGCAUGAACUUAGCUUGCUAAGUUUGAUGGCGACCGGCGCACGGGUGAGUAACACGUAUCCAACCUGCCGAUGACUCGGGGAUAGCCUUUCGAAAGAAAGAUUAAUACCCGAUGGCAUAGUUCUUCCGCAUGGUAGGACUAUUAAAGAAUUUCGGUCAUCGAUGGGGAUGCGUUCCAUUAGCUUGUUGGCGGGGUAACGGCCCACCAAGGCAUCGAUGGAUAGGGGUUCUGAGAGGAAGGUCCCCCACAUUGGAACUGAGACACGGUCCAAACUCCUACGGGAGGCAGCAGUGAGGAAUAUUGGUCAAUGGGCGCUAGCCUGAACCAGCCAAGUAGCGUGAAGGAUGACUGCCCUAUGGGUUGUAAACUUCUUUUAUAUGGGAAUAAAGUGCAGUAUGUAUACUGCUUUGCAUGUACCUUAUGAAUAAGGAUCGGCUAACUCCGUGCCAGCAGCCGCGGUAAUACGGAGGAUCCGAGCGUUAUCCGGAUUUAUUGGGUUUAAAGGGAGCGUAGGCGGGUUGUUAAGUCAGUUGUGAAAGUUUGCGGCUCAACCGUAAAAUUGCAGUUGAUACUGGCAUCCUUGAGUACAGUAGAGGUAGGCGGAAUUCGUGGUGUAGCGGUGAAAUGCUUAGAUAUCACGAAGAACUCCGAUUGCGAAGGCAGCCUGCUGGACUGUAACUGACGCUGAUGCUCGAAAGUGUGG
rnacentral:rRNA from 1 species